AUCCAAUGUAUACCACCCUGAAUGCGCCCGAUCUCGUCUGAUCUCGGAAGCUAAGCAGGGGUGGGCCUGGUUAGUACUUGGAUGGGAGACAGCCUGGGAAUACCGGGUGCUGUAGGUC
rnacentral:rRNA from 1 species